rnacentral:rRNA from 1 species
CCUACGGGUGGCAGCAGUGGGGGAUAUUGGACAAUGGCGGAAACUCUGAUCCAGCGACGCCGCGUGAAUGAAGAAGUAUUUCGGUUUGUAAAGCUCUAUCAGCAGGGAAGAAAAAAAUGACGGUACCUGAGUAUCAAGCCCCGGCUAACUACGUGCCAGCAGCCGCUGUAAUACGUAGGGGGCAAGCGUUAUCCGGAAUUACUGGGUGUAAAGGGUGCGUAGGUGGUAAUGUAAGUUGGGGGUGAAAGUCCGGGGCCCAACCCCAGGGCUGCCGCGGAAACUGUGAGACUGGAGUGCAGGAGAGGGAGGCGGAAGGCCGAGUGUAGCGGUGAAAUGCGUAGAUAUUAGGAGGAACACCAGGGGCGAAGGCGGCUUACUGGACUGUAACUGACACUGAGGCACGAAAGCGUGGGGAGCAAACAGGAUUAGAUACCCCUGUAGUC